rnacentral:rRNA from 1 species
GUAUAGAGUGGCGCACGGGUGAGUAACACGUAGGUUAUCUACCUCCGAGUGGGGGAAGUAAACAACCGGAAACGGUUGCUAAUACCGCAUAAUACCGAAAGGUCAAAGCUUUAGUGCUUGGAGAGGAGCCUGCGGCAGAUUAGCUAGUUGGUAAGGUAAUGGCUUACCAAGGCGGCGAUCUGUAUCCGGUCUAAGAGGACGGUCGGACACACUGACACUGAAUAACGGGUCAG